GCAUUUUUAUUUUUAUUUUUGACAAUGAAGGCCUACCAAUAAUGUCUUGCACUCAGCCACAUUAUUGGUUGCUUUAAACGCGAACCUUAUUGUGCAAUUUAAUUUGUGCUCUUUUGGGCUUGUCAAUAAUAUGCCUGCCCUCGAGCCAAUAUCUCCUGAUGAUCAAUUCCCAACAAAUUAUACACUCCCUAUUCAGGCUCUUCUUCAUGAAUGGGGACAUCCGAUAGACCUACGAUAAAAUUAACUAAUGCAUGUACUAUGAUUGCAAACCACUCCUUUUAGCUUAUUUUAAAUUAUCCCAAUUCUACUGUCCAUUUCAUUAACUUUCCCAACGUAUAAGGCUUUUGCAAUACUUGCUUGAGUGGAAAAUUUGUUAAUACUUUGAUACAAUAUCUCUAGAUAUAGGACGGUUUUUGCAAUGCUGAAAUAAGGGCAAAGGUCAACUUUUUCAUACUCGGAUACCUUGCCUAUACUCCUUGCAGUGCUUUGCUUAUAUAGUUUAUAGAAAAUUGUUGUAGCCCAUCCUCCUUCACUAAUACAGAGAUGACCAUCACUUUGAAUAUUGCUAGAUAUAGCAAUAGCUUUUUUCCAUUUCCAAGUUCUGCAAACAAGGGUGCUUUUCCUAUGUGGUCUUUCAAGGCUUGGAAUGCUUGCUCUCACUCACUGCUCUAUUCGAAUUUCUUUCCUCCUUUUAGCACUUGGAAACAAACCUACUCAGGAUAGUGACCUUCACUAUUAGGCAUUAUAUUGCUUUUGGUUUAGAUGGGAACCACAUUUUUACAAGGACUUGAAUUUUCCAAAUUUUACUCCAAAUGCACAUUUGAGCAGAUUGAGUUUCAUCCUGUAUUUUCACAAAAUAUUGAAAGUUUCUUCUAGUUGUUUUAAGUAGUCUCCAGCUUGAAGGCUUUUCACAAGCAUGUUAUCAAUGUAAACUUUCA
rnacentral:lncRNA from 1 species